AAAAAGGUUCAUCGUGCAUUGGGAUGAAAUGUCAAGUCCGUGACAUUUUUCACAGGGAAGGAUUUAAAGACUGAUUCCAUUUUGGGACGCCCGAAAGGGAAUUUUCCCAGCUGACCUCAGAGAAGGCGCCUGUCAAUUUCACCUGUGAAACUGACAAGAGCCUUCCAUGCCCAGCUGCUGGAGGGGCGGAGAGCCAGAGGGCUGUGUCACUGACAACCCCCCAGCUCUGGGAGCCAGCAAGGGGCUGCCUGGCCCCUAGAGCUUGGAGGGGGAGGCGGGGUGGGGGGAGAGAAGAGGCAGUGAAGCCUGCCUGUGUUUCAAUAAAAGAAUUUCAUUAAUUUUGUUGGAAAACUUUCAACCUGCUCUACUUCUAACUCCUCACCAGCUCCACAAGGAAGAUUUUAAUCACGUCUGGGUGAGUUUUUGCACGAAGGUCGGUCUGAAUACAGUGCUUCUGGUGCCCUGCCCAUGCACCAGCUAAGGACUGAAGCCAGGAGCAGUUGCAUCAAGGGACUGUCUAUAUACUGAGCAAUUUUGUUCUGAACGGACACGGAUUUUGUGCAGUGUUGUUAUAGCUUCCUACAGACCAGGAUACACCAUCUCAAAGCGCACCAGCUCCUGCCAGAGCAACAGAUGCAAAACCUGCCGACGUAUCUCCAUUGCUGCGAUGAUCAAUACCCUCUACAACACAAUUGUCAAGAUUCCUGGUCCUACACGCUACACGUGAGGUUCCUCAUGCAGUGCUUCAAAUGCCCCAACAACCCCCAUGAGGGUGAAACCAGACAAUCACUAUGCUCUUGAAUGAACUCAUGCAGAAAAAUGAUAAAACUACCGUCCAUGGGCAAACGCCACUUUUAAUUUCCCCAAUACUAAUUUCUCCCUACUGUUACUCACCCCUUCUUGUCAACUGUCUGUAAUGGGCCACUCUCUUACCACUUCAAAAGUUAUUUCUCCUCCCUUGGUACCCUGCUGUUGAUUUAUCUCGUUAGAGUGACUUAACACUUGGUAAAGCAACCCACACAUCCUUUCAUGUAUUUAUACCUGCUCCUGUAUCUUUUACUUCAUACAUGUGAUGAAGUGGGUUCUAGCCCACAAAAACUUAUGCCCAAAUAAAUUUAUUAGUCUCUAAGGUG